GAUGAACGCUGGCGGCGUGCCUAAUACAUGCAAGUCGAGCGAACAGACGAGGAGCUUGCUCCUCUGACGUUAGCGGCGGACGGGUGAGUAACACGUGGAUAACCUACCUAUAAGACUGGGAUAACUUCGGGAAACCGGAGCUAAUACCGGAUAAUAUAUUGAACCGCAUGGUUCAAUAGUGAAAGACGGUUUUGCUGUCACUUAUAGAUGGAUCCGCGCCGCAUUAGCUAGUUGGUAAGGUAACGGCUUACCAAGGCAACGAUGCGUAGCCGACCUGAGAGCGUGGACGGGCACACUGGAACUGAGGCACGGUCCAGACUCCUACGGGGAGCAGCAGUAGGGAAUCUUCCGCGAUGGGCGAAAGCCUGACGGAGCAAAGCCGGGUGAGUGAUGAAGGUCUUCGGAUCGGAAAACUCUGUUAUUAGGGAAGAACAAAUGUGUAAGUAACUAUGCACGUCUUGACGGUACCUAAUCAGAAAGCCACGGCUAACUACGUG
rnacentral:rRNA from 1 species